CUUCCGUCGCGCGUGCCGCCGUGCGCGCUUAUUGGCUAAGGCCAGUGAGGCGGGGCGGGAGGAAGGGACAACAGCUCGAAGGGAGCGAGGCGCUGAGCACGCUUCGGGAAAAGGAUGGGAGCUUCCUGAAGCCAGUUUCUCGAAUUCCCCAUCAAUAGUCACCUGAGGUGACUUCUACAAAAGAGGAUGCUUCAGUCUUCAAAAGGAGUAAAUCCCGAUCCAACAGAAUGAUUUCUGUUGUCACUCAGAGUUGCUGAUCCUUGAUCCACACAGAGGACUUUCACAAUAGCUUUAUAUGGCAUUGUUGUGAGAGAGAUGAGAGGAUGGCUGCCCUGAUGCCCACCUGCCUGCAUUGCCUAGCACAGCAACUUCUGGCCAGAAUCUGGCACAGUGAGGCUACAACUUGAAGGACCCCAGUUAUUUCAC